GACGAACGCUGGCGGCGUGCUUAACACAUGCAAGUCGAACGAUGAAGAAAAGAAUUGAAGCUUCGGCAGAAAUUCAUUUCGGAUUAGUGGCAGACGGGUGAGUAACGCGUGAGCAACCUACCUCUUACAAAGGGAUAGCCUCGGGAAACCGGGAUUAAUACCAUAUAACAUUGCGACGAAGCAUUUCGAUGCAAUCAAAGCUACGGCGGUAAGAGAUGGGCUCGCGUCCCAUUAACCAGAUGGUGAGGUAACGGCUCACCAUAGCAACGAUGGGUAACCGGGCUGGGAGGGUGAACGGUCACACUGGAACUGAGACACGGUCCAGACUGCUACGGGAGGCAGCGGUGGGGAAUAUUACACACGGGAGGGAACUCUGAUGCAGCGACGCCGCGUAAGUGAUGAAGGGAGUCGUUUCGUAAAACUCUGUUCUAUGGGAAGAAAGGGACUGUAACAGAGGAGAAAGCUCCGGCUAAAUACGUG
rnacentral:rRNA from 1 species